rnacentral:rRNA from 1 species
CGGAGGGAUCAUUACAAGUGACCCCGGUCUAACCACCGGGAUGUUCAUAACCCUUUGUUGUCCGACUCUGUUGCCUCCGGGGCGACCCUGCCUUCGGGCGGGGGCUCCGGGUGGACACUUCAAACUCUUGCGUAACUUUGCAGUCUGAGUAAACUUAAUUAAUAAAUUAAAACUUUUAACAACGGAUCUCUUGGUUCUGGCAUCGAUGAAGAACGCAGCGAAAUGCGAUAAGUAAUGUGAAUUGCAGAAUUCAGUGAAUCAUCGAAUCUUUGAACGCACAUUGCGCCCCCUGGUAUUCCGGGGGGCAUGCCUGUUCGAGCGUCAUUUCACCACUCAAGCCUCGCUUGGUAUUGGGCAUCGCGGUCCGCCGCGUGCCUCAAAUCGACCGGCUGGGUCUUCUGUCCCCUAAGCGUUGUGGAAACUAUUCGCUAAAGGGUGUUCGGGAGGCUACGCCGUAAAACAACCCCAUUUCUAAGGUUGACCUCGGAUCAGGUAGGGAUACCCGCUGAACUUAAGCAU